rnacentral:rRNA from 1 species
CAGUCGCCACGGGAAUACGGAGGGAGCUAGCGUUGUUCGGAAUUACUGGGCGUAAAGCGCGCGUAGGCGGUUACUCAAGUCAGAGGUGAAAGCCCGGGGCUCAACCCCGGAACUGCCUUUGAAACUAGGUGACUAGAAUCUUGGAGAGGUCAGUGGAAUUCCGAGUGUAGAGGUGAAAUUCGUAGAUAUUCGGAAGAACACCAGUGGCGAAGGCGACUGACUGGACAAGUAUUGACGCUGAGGUGCGAAAGCGUGGGGAGCAAACAGGAUUAGAUACCCGAGUAGUCCCUGUCUCUUAUAA